rfam:Ictidomys tridecemlineatus contig075138, whole genome shotgun sequence.
GUCAGUUUAUCACCCUGAAUGCGCCCGAUCUCGUCUGAUCUCGGAAGCUAAGCAGGGUCGGGCCUGGUUAGUACUUGGAUGGGAGAUUGUCUUCUUAUUUUCUUAGAACUCUAAAGAAGCAUAUA